rnacentral:rRNA from 1 species
UACAGGGGGGGCAAGCGUUGUUCGGAAUUACUGGGCGUAAAGGGUCUGUAGGUGGCUUGCUAAGUCAGACGUGAAAUCCCUCAGCUUAACUGGGGAACUGCGUCUGAUACUGGCAAGCUUGAGUGCAGGAGAGGAACGCGGAAUUCCAGGUGUAGCGGUGAAAUGCGUAGAUAUCAGGAGGAACACCGGUGGCGAAGGCGCUCAUCUGGCCCAAUACUGACGCUGAAGCGCGAAAGCUAGGGGAGCAAACGGG